rnacentral:lncRNA from 1 species
AUUCUGAGGAUUUUCUGGCUACGUGCCAUUCUCUCUUCUUUGUUUCUGAUCUUGAGUUUUUCUCCCAAAUACUUAGUGUUAUUUUGAGAGAAUCUGUAAAGAAACUCUUGUGUGAGUUUCUAUUGAGAGCAGAUUGAGUUGUUUCUGUGAAAUCUGGAACUGAGUGUUUUGUAAAUUGUACUUUGCCGAUUUGUGGCCGAUUUUAGUGGAUUCGAGCUUAAUUCUUUAUGGAUACUCAAUGGGGGACUAAGCGUUAGAAACGGUCGCUGAACCUCUGGGGCCUUUGGCUGAAAAAUCUCUCGUGUUCUUAUUUUCUGUUUUUGUUUUGAGAAAAUCUGGAUUUUUGCGUUGAGUAUUUUUGGCAUAAAUUCGAUCCUGGAACUACAAUUCUAAUCCCUAGCAAAAGUUUCUCACCUCUCUCUUGCACUCAUUUCCUUCCUAUACCGGUAGUUGACUUGAUCGUUGAAAUGUAAACGAUCGUUGAACUGUUUUGUCAAUCGGUGAUCUUUGCAUCGUAACGGUGUAUUCCAACAUGCAACUGAUGCUUAGAUGGAUGGGGAAGUGGUUGAAAUUUUGUUGGCCAGGUUUUGAAUUCAACAAUAUUAUUGUUAUUUAGCCCCCGUUUGAGCCCCAUUAUUCUUCGUUACAUUAAAUUAAAUUUUUCUCUCUCCUACUUUUAAUCACACAAUCUUCAAUAAAAUAAUAUUACACGUAAAUCAAAAUCAU